UUUCCGUAGGUGAACCUGCGGAAGGGUCAUUACCGAGUGAGGGUCUCUCAGGCCCGACCUCCCACCCUGUGUUUUUGUGACCUUGUUGCUUUGGCCGGCCCGCCUCGAAGAGAGGCCGCCGGAAGCUCACCCCUUUGGGCCCGUGCCCGUCAGUAGGCCCCUUAAAUUCUUAAUAAACCUGUCGUCUGAGUUAAUGGAUAUAAUGAAAAAAGACUUUCAACAACGGAUCUCUUGGUUCUG
rnacentral:misc_RNA from 1 species